UUGACAACUGUACAAGACAUCCUUUUGAAGACAGUUGUGAGUGAGCAACAGUCCAAGAUACCUUGUUAAUGCUGCCCUGUUACCUACUGAGUUUCUACAUACAAGUCAAGUAUCCAUCAAAGAUUGGCCAUGGUGUUUACAGAACUGAAAGCCAAGCUGUGAUUUUUGAAAAUUUAUUAUAAAGUUCUAAAUGGAAAUACAAUUUGAAAAGC